CGCAAGUCGGGUCGAUUUGCUCCUCCGAAUCCCCCAGGUGCGGAAGCAAGCAAGGGUAAGGAGUUGAGCGAUGCGUUCCCGGCUUGUUUUU
rnacentral:SRP_RNA from 3 species